CGAUCACCGAAGUUAAGCAUCGUAGAGCCAGGUAAGUACUUAGAUGGGGGACCGCUUGGGAACACCUGGUACUGUAAGC
rnacentral:rRNA from 1 species